rnacentral:lncRNA from 1 species
ACAUUCUAAGAGGAACCAACUGAUCGAGUUCCUGGUUCGAAAGGUGAGUAAACCAGUCCAGAUUUUUUCGAGCCAGGCUAUCCAUGAUCAGGUUUACUCUGAAGUCUGAACUAAUAUAGAGAUCGAUCAUUUCUCGCCUCUGAAGUGCAUAGUACGUGUUGUUGUGUUGUGUGGAGUAUUCCAGUUUGUAAUACCUUCGUCCCACAAUGUAAGAUCUUUUAGCAAGCUAUGUUAGCUUGUAAAAAGGACUUACAUUGUGGGAUAUAGGGAGUAUUAAUC